CACCUUUUACAUUUCAAGAAUAUGCAAAGGGAAUCAUCUCCCUAUUCCCAUACUUGGCAGAAUGGGUCACCCAGGAGCAAGCUUGGUUAUGAGCAUUAUUACAAUCCAGAAGAUGGAAGUGGAUAUCUGGCAUGGAGAAUAAAAACCCUGCAGAAAGAAGAAUCAGAGGGACGGAUGAAAAGGCAACCACAAACAGGUGGGCCAACUACUGACAGGGAUCCCUUCAAAGCCGCGAGGCCUCAAACAGACUAGUGAGCUCCAAGACGUUAUCCAAAAUGCUGAAGGUUGGGACAGCGACAUGUCAUCCAUUCUGAUGCUGGUUCACCUUUUGCCACCCUCAAGUUAAGGCCGGGAAAGAUCUCAGCGAGAAAAGCGUGAUUCUUGUGAAAUUCAUCAAGGUGAAGCAACUGAUGAAGCAGAUAAAAUGACACUAGUUCAUAUGAAGAGUUCAGAUGCAAAAGCCUCUAAGUGCCAUUUGAAAUUUUCUUCUAGAAUGA